rnacentral:lncRNA from 1 species
CAGAGAUUCACAAGGAGAAAAUGAUCUAGAUCCUACUUGAGUGGAUACCGGUAGAGGCUAGGUGACUGCAUGGCUAUUUUUGAACCUCAGGCAUUGCUGCGAUCAUCUACAGGGUAAUCUAGUUACUCUAGAGGUAUUUCUCUAAUCCUCAAAUUUUAGAUUUAAUUUUAAAUUAAAUAUCAGAUAAUAAGAAUCAGAUCUAAUAUACCUUAGAUCUAAAAUAAAGUAGGAUAAAUUUUUAUUUAAAAUAUUCUGUCCC